GAAAGCAUUGCAAUUGGCACUGUUCCUUACUGUUCAUGGCUACAGUCAAUUGUUUGCCACUUGAUUUCACCUGAUUUACAAGGAACCCAUCAGAUUUGGGCUGGGUUGGAAGGGUAAUUAUUAGAACUUAGAAGGGUAAAUUUGUCCGUAGGGUUCACUGCCUUCGACUUCUUCUUGCUCUCUCUUCAUUUCCCUCAACCUGUAGCCCCAGCGCCGCUCACCCCCAUUCUUCUUCAUCUUUUCUAAAACCUAGCCGUCCCUCCAUCUCUCUCAACCCUAAACCAUCUUCCCCUUCUCCGUAAAACCCAGAGGCCAAGAGGCCUGAGUCCACAUCACAACUCGCCGCUCCGGCGAGCCUCAACUCCAUCAAACAACCACUAGCUCCCUGGACUCCCCUUUCUUUUCUCUGUAAACACCGAGGCGCACCAACGCCUCCAUUUUCCGGCAAAACAUGACUACAGCACCACCACCACUCGCUCCAUCUCACAGAACCACUAUCACUCACUUUGUUCUGCUCAGGAGACACAGGCGAGGCCUUUCACUGUGCACUGGCUCCUGCCACUGUUCGUCGACUUCUCCUACGAGACUCACCUCUCCUGACCUCGAGAGAGAAAGUGGCAGCAGCAGCAGUGGGAAGGAAUAAGGACUAUUCUUGUCUCUGUGAUCGUCUCUGCCCUUCGAAGCUCUAGGGUUUGGCUUUGGCUCUGUUAGUUGUUGAGAGCGAAAGAUAUGUUGUUAACAAGGGCAAAAACAAGAUGCAGUUUGCUGCAUAUAGAAAACAGAGGUUAGUUUGAUUCCAACUCCUUUUCUUAGUUUAUUUGAAUCAGAAAUUGGUAAGUUCAAGUCCAAUUUGAUGAUUUCUGGCAGAUUCUUU